CUUAGAGUUUGAUCCUGGCUCAGGACGAACGCUGGCGGCGCGCCUAACACAUGCAAGUCGAACGAGCGAGAGAGAGCUUGCUUUCUCGAGCGAGUGGCGAACGGGUGAGUAACGCGUGAGGAACCUGCCUCAAAGAGGGGGACAACAGUUGGAAACGACUGCUAAUACCGCAUAAGCCCACGGGUCGGCAUCGACCAGAGGGAAAAGGAGCAAUCCGCUUUGAGAUGGCCUCGCGUCCGAUUAGCUAGUUGGUGAGGUAAUGGCCCACCAAGGCGACGAUCGGUAGCCGGACUGAGAGGUUGAACGGCCACAUUGGGACUGAGACACGGCCCAGACUCCUACGGGAGGCAGCAGUGGGGAAUAUUGCACAAUGGGGGGAACCCUGAUGCAGCGACGCCGCGUGGAGGAAGAAGGUCUUCGGAUUGUAAACUCCUGUUGUUGGGGAAGAUAAUGACGGUACCCAACAAGGAAGUGACGGCUAACUACGUGCCAGCAGCCGCGGUAAAACGUAGGUCACAAGCGUUGUCCGGAAUUACUGGGUGUAAAGGGAGCGCAGGCGGGAAGACAAGUUGGAAGUGAAAUCUAUGGGCUCAACCCAUAAACUGCUUUCAAAACUGUUUUUCUUGAGUAGUGCAGAGGUAGGCGGAAUUCCCGGUGUAGCGGUGGAAUGCGUAGAUAUCGGGAGGAACACCAGUGGCGAAGGCGGCCUACUGGGCACCAACUGACGCUGAGGCUCGAAAGUGUGGGUAGCAAACAGGAUUAGAUACCCUGGUAGUCCACACCGUAAACGAUGAUUACUAGGUGUUGGAGGAUUGACCCCUUCAGUGCCGCAGUUAACACAAUAAGUAAUCCACCUGGGGAGUACGACCGCAAGGUUGAAACUCAAAGGAAUUGACGGAAGGGCGAAUUC
rnacentral:rRNA from 1 species